ACUCCGUGCCAGCAGCCGCGGAAAUACGGAGGGUGCGAGCGUAAAUCGGAAUUACUGGGCGUAAAGCGUACGCAGGCGGUUUGUUAAGCGAGAUGUGAAAGCCCCGGGCUCACCCUGGGAACUGCAUUUCGAACUGGCAAACUAGAGUGUCAUAGAGGGUGGUAGAAUUUCAGGUGUAGCGGUGAAAUCCUCUUCAAGUUGUGAANGGAAUACCGAUGGCGAAGGCAGCCACCUGGGUCAACACUGACGCUCAUGUACGAAAGCGUGGGGAGCUGNCNGCAUUAGAUACCCUGGUAGUCCACCCCGUAAAGGANGCCNACUAGCUGUGUGUGUCUUUCAAGACGUGCGUAGCGAAGCUAACGCGCUAAGUAGACCGCCUGGAGACCCAAACUGUGCCGCAAGGUUAAAACUCAAAUGAAUUGACGGGGGCCCGCACAAGCGGUGGAGCAUGUGGUUUAAUUCGAUGCAACGCGAAGAACCUUACCUACACUUGACAUGCUGAGAAGUUACUAGAGAUAGUUUCGUGCCUUCGGGAACUCAGACACAGGUGCUGCAUGGCUGUCGUCAGCUCGUGUCGUGAGAUGUUGGGUUAAGUCCCGCAACGAGCGCAACCCUUGUCCUUAGUUGCCAGCCUUCUUUUUUUUUUACCCCCCGGAGACUGCCGGUGACCCCCCCCGUUUUUG
rnacentral:rRNA from 1 species